CUCUGCUGUUGAACCAAACUUUUCUUCUCGAUUUGGUUCAUCCCGAUAGCACUCUGAUCUUGCUUUUCCAGUAAGUUCGUCCCCAUCGUUUUUGUGUUAUAUUCGUGUGUUGGUUUUUUUGCAACCAUAACACUAACCAAGGAAACUUCGUCAGUUGUUUUCCUCCAUCUACGUCGUUGGAAGGUCUCUUCUUCGUGUUGAUCUCCUUCGUCCCGACAACACUUCGAUCUCACUUUUCCGCCUUUUCCUCUAUCUCCACCGCCAGAAAAUCUCUUCUUCGUGUCGAUCUCGUUAGUCCCGACAGCACUCCAAUCUCGAUUUUCCUGCUGACGUGGAGUCUUGUUAGCGUGGGUGGUCAGAACUUGAGAAGGUUCUACGACUGUUCAGACGGGGCCACGUCGCAUAAUGAUACAUGUGGCAUGCCACUGUCAGUGCAAUGGGUGAGUGCCAGGUUAGCGAAUGGUUGGAAAUCGUCCAUGUGUCUAAUCUCUGCAAAAGUCGAGGAAAUUAUUUGGGUAGGUGAGCAAUGGGACAUAGAGAAUGAUUUGCAUGGUACCUACCCACUUGCAGAUUUAGUAAUCAUUACCUUAGUUUAUCCCACUAUAAAUAGAGGUAU